GUCGCAAAUGAUCGACACCACAAAUUGUCGACAUCCCAUAUUGUCGACAAUGAAAUAGUUUCAUUUUGUCGACACUGAAAUAGUCCCAGUAUAUCGACAAGCACCCGUUCUUCGGAGCUACUCUUGAAAAGGAGUUGUUCUAAUUCAUCGUUCAGUUCCUCAACUCACGAGUCGCAAUAUUUGAUUCCGAAUUCCGACGGACAUCUUCAAGCUGGCCAUUUAUUGACUAAAAACUUUUAUAUUGUAAAUAUUUAUCUUUUUGAUUUCUUUCCUUGUUUAAAAGAAAAUAGACGACUCGAGUGUUACAAACAAUAGUUUUUAAUGAAUAAUGUGAAAUAAUUUUUAUAGGAUAAAAAACUUAAAAACAUUACUAGACACUAACUUCACCAACAAGAAGGUAAGAGACGAUCCUGGAGCAAAGGCUGUAAUUUGACCUGAGCCCAAAUUGGUCUCUAGUUUAAAUACCGUUUUGUCUUGUACCAAUAAGUUAAGAGGACUAACCUUUCUGGACGACAUUGCCAUCGACAUCACUGAAGAUGAGAGAUAUAGAGAGACCAGAGUUGUGUACCCUGGAGGCUAUUACCAUACUGCCGUGAUAACUAAGUUAUUCAAAGUUCAAAUCGGUACUUUGAGCUGUAGCCUACCAGUAGAAUGGGGGCGUUGUAAUUAAUAUCCUCCGACAUUGGAGGAUACAGGGGAGAGUUGCCAGAGGAAGAGGAGAUGGAGGAUGGGGCGAAGUAAAGACGAAGAUUGAAGAGAACUAACUUAUGGCCUGAUGACAGGGUGGAUGGCGAUGGAGGCAUGGAGGUUGGGGGAGAGGAGGUUGAAGAAGUGGAGACAAAUCAGUUUAGAUUCAUUAUGUUGAUUAGUUUAAUAUUUAUUUUGUACAUCAGUAUAGGCCUACUUUUAUUUACAUUUUUUUCUCAUUUAGAUUAUUAAAUUCAGAUAAUUUUAUUGUUUUUAUGAAAAUGUUUUCUUAAAUUUUUAAUAUUUGUUUGUACUUCUGCCUGUUAAAAAAUACUGUUUAUUAAGUUUGUUAAAAUGAUUACUUUCACUAACUGAUCUUGUAUUGGGUAAAAAGAGACAUCUUGAUAUUUAACUAGCAGGGUGCCUGUUCUAUGGGCGGGGAUCAUAUAAGUCAGUUGAAACCUUCUUAUAUUUUGAUACUUAGUAAAUUAAUCAUUUACAACUUUAUAUAGUAUAGAUCGCUAUUCCUGUAUUGAUGUACUGAAAUGAAUA